ACGAUCUUACUUAAUCAGGAUCUGUUCUAUAGGAUUGUAAUAUUGUGUCCUUGAUUUCUAAGGAGACAGAAAUAUACGUCUAGUGGAUGAACUAAGACCAUAUGAUUAGAGCGUGAUUAACGGCUAGGAUGCUCUCGUGAGCGAGAUCUCAUCCUCUGUGGUAGAAGAUCGUUCUCAGGCAGUAAUACCUGACUGGGGUGGUCGCACGGUGUUCUGACAGAAU
rnacentral:snoRNA from 1 species